rnacentral:tRNA from 1 species
GGGGAUUUAGCUCAGCGGCAUAAGCACCUGCCUUGCAAGCAGGCGGUUGUGAGCAAGAUCCCCA